GAUUUGAUGAGAGUGUACGUUGCAAUGGUGAGAUGGAAGUUGCAAAGGCAAGAAGUCAUUUGGGACCUUUCAGAAGUGUAGUAUUCUGAAACACCAAGCAAAUUCAGACCUUCAUGCUGAGGUGAAUUUGUAAAGGGUCAUUGGGCAUACCCUUUGGGAGAACUGAUACGGCCUUCAGACAUUUGACCAAAACAAAUAAAAUAAACACAGAAAGAUAUACCAAGAAUGACUUAAAGGGAGGAAGCAAAGGAGUCCAAUAAUGUAUUACAUUUCAACACAAAGGAGAAGGAUGGGCCUCCUCUCACUGGUGUGAAACAGGGUUAUUAGAGAUGAUACGCAUACCCUAAGUAUGUUCCCUGGACCAGCAACAUCAGCAUUACUCAGAAGCUUGUUAGACCCUACCUCAGAUCUACUGGAUCAGAAUUUGCCUUCCAACAAGACCCACAGUGAUCCUGAAUUAAUUUACUUUGAGUAUUGACCACCAGAUUGUACCAUUGAAAGGUGCAUUUUCUUCUUUGCUGGGCCUCUCUACAUUUAGUUCUGUAUUAGAUCAAGAUU
rnacentral:sRNA from 1 species